UAGCAAGCUUCUUUAUGGAGAUAAUAGUGUUUACUCCGAAGCUUUAUGAGGGUAUUUGUGAUGCUAUUACAACUGCAGUACUUUGACCAUGUAAAUGCUACGUUGUCAUAAUAUUCUCUCCUUCGCUCUGUUAUGUCUAGAACAGGACUUUGAGAUUUAUGGGUGUCUCACUCAUCCUGCUUUCCUGGGUGUCAAAGACAUCAGGAAAUCAUGCUCGCCUGUGACAAAGGCUUGUGAGUCAAUAUUAAAUACAGCUGAGAGCUUGACUCCUUGUUAUUACGUCACUAGGAGAACAGACUUUGGAGCCACAUCACAAACUGGAACAGGGAAUUCUUAUCCAACUGAAAAUGUAACAUUGCAAAAAAGACCAGAUAAACAUCAGCCAUAUUUUUCAGUCAGUUCUUCCUAGGUUUCAGCUGCUAUUGCAAUGCACAGUCUUCAGUAAUGCACAGGCUCUCUUGAAGAAUAUUAGAAGUGAAUACCAACACAUGCAGAGCUACUGUUUGACUUGAGAAUAUCCCAGUGCAAUUUGAGAGACUGUAAUACUUUCUUUUGGAUCAUUACUCCUUCUUACUCCUCUGGUAGCAAGCACUGCCAACAUGUCUGGAUUUCCAUUGGAAAGGGAUGCUGUAUGAAAGGCAAAGGCAGGCUUAACUGAUUACUGAGAGCACGUGGAAGUGGUACAAAGAGAAGAACCAAGAAGGUGGAUGUACAAAAACCACAGACCCGCUACUACCCUUUAUUUCUGUCUUCAGAACAAAAGUGACCAGUAAAAACUGUGGUGAUUU